AGACCAUGAUAAGGACAACACCUAAGUAGGUCCUUGUAUAUUUCCCAAGCCUCAUACAACGAUUCAAAAUCUAGCUGCAUAAAUGAUGUGAUAUCAUUCCUCAAUUU
rnacentral:snoRNA from 1 species